rnacentral:rRNA from 1 species
AACUAGUCUCGUGCCAGGAUGUGCGGUAAUACGGAGGGUGCGAGCGGUAAUGGGAAUUACGGGGCGUAAAGCGUGCGCAGGCGGUUUUGUAAGACAGGUGGGAAAUCCCCGGGCUUAACCUGGGAACUGCGCUUGGGACUGCAAGACUCGAGUACGGCAGAGGGGGGUGGAAUUCCACGUGUAGCAGUGAAAUGCGUAGAGAUGUGGAGGAACACCGAUGGCGAAGGCAGCCCCCUGGGUCGAUACUGACGCUCAUGCACGAAAGCGUGGGGAGCAAACAGGAUUAGAUACCCGGGUAGUC